CCUACGGGGGCAGCAGUGGGGAAUAUUGGACUAUGGGCGAAAGCCUGAUCCAGCCAUGCCGCGUGUGUGAAGAAGGCCUUCGGGUUGUAAAGCACUUUCAGUGGGGAAGAAAGCCUUGGGGCUAAUACCCUCGAGGAAGGACAUCACCCACAGAAGAAGCACCGGCUAACUCCGUGCCAGCAGCCGCGGUAAUACGGAGGGUGCGAGCGUUAAUCGGAAUUACUGGGCGUAAAGCGCGCGUAGGCGGUCUGAUAAGCCGGUUGUGAAAGCCCCGGGCUCAACCUGGGAACGGCAUCCGGAACUGUCAGGCUAGAGUGCAGGAGAGGAAGGUAGAAUUCCCGGUGUAGCGGUGAAAUGCGUAGAGAUCGGGAGGAAUACCAGUGGCGAAGGCGGCCUUCUGGACUGACACUGACGCUGAGGUGCGAAAGCGUGGGUAGCAAACAGGAUUAGAUACCCGAGUAGUC
rnacentral:rRNA from 1 species